UACAGAGGGGGCAAGCGUUUGUUCGGAAUUACUGGGCGUAAAGGGCGCGUAGGCGGCCUUCUAAGUCGAACGUGAAAUCCCCGGGCUCAACCCGGGAACUGCGUCCGAUACUGGAAGGCUUGAAUCCGGGAGAGGGAUGCGGAAUUCCAGGUGUAGCGGUGAAAUGCGUAGAUAUCUGGAGGAACACCGGUGGCGAAGGCGGCAUCCUGGGACCGGCAUUGACGCUGAGGCGCGAAAGCCAGGGGAGCAAAGCGGGG
rnacentral:rRNA from 1 species